CAAUAGCGUAUAUUAAAGUUGUUGCAGUUAAAAAGCUCGUAGUUGGACUUCUGGCAACUUCUGUGGUCCAACUGUUUGGUUCCCGUCGAAGUUUGCCAUCAUUGAGCGUAACCUAUGUGGCAUUAGGUUGUCAUGUAGGGAAUCCUCAUUGUUUACUGUGAAAAAAUUAGAGUGUUCAAAGCAGGCUUAUGCCGUUGAAUAUAUUAGCAUGGAAUAAUAAGAUAGGACCUCGGUACUAUUUUGUUGGUUUGCGCACUGAGGUAAUGAUUAAUAGGGACAGUUGGGGGUAUUCGUAUUCCAUAGUCAGAGGUGAAAUUCUUGGAUUUUUGGAAGACGAACUACUGCGAAAGCAUUUACCAAGGAUGUUUUCAUUAA
rnacentral:rRNA from 1 species